rnacentral:rRNA from 1 species
UACGUAGGAGACGAGCGUUGUCCGGAGUUACUGGGCGUAAAGGGUGCGCAGGUGGCGGCGCGCGUGGGGGGUGAAAUCGCCCGGCUUAACUGGGCGGGGGCCUUCCAGACGGCGUGGCUUGAGCAGCGGAGGGGGACGUGGAAUUCCGGGUGGAGCGGUGAAAUUCGUAGAUAUUCGCAAGAACACCAGUGGCGAAGGCGGCUCACUGGCCCGGUACUGACGCUGAGGUGCGAAAGCGUGGGGAGCAAACAGG